rnacentral:rRNA from 1 species
CCUACGGGUGGCAGCAGUGGGGAAUAUUGCGCAAUGGGCGAAAGCCUGACGCAGCGACGCCGCGUGAGGGAUGAAGGUCUUCGGAUCGUAAACCUCUGUCAGCAGGGAAGAACGGUCACUGUGCUAAUCAGCAGUGAAUUGACGGUACCUGCAAAGGCAGCACCGGCUAACUCCGUGCCAGCAGCCGCGGUAAUACGGCGGGUGCGAGCGUUUAUCGGAAUUACUGGGCGUAAGGCGCUCGUAGGCGGUAUGUCAAGUCAAGGGUGAAAUCCCCGCGCUCAACGUGGGAACUGCCUUUGAAACUGGCAAACUGGAGUGUGUGAGAGGAUAGUGGAAUUCCAGGUGUAGGAGUGAAAGCCGUAGAUAUCUGGAGGAACAUCAGUGGCGAAGGCGACUAUCUGGCACAUAACUGACGCUGAGGAGCGAAAGCGUGGGUAGCAAACAGGAUUAGAUACCCUUGUAGUC